rnacentral:rRNA from 1 species
GACGAACGCUGGCGGCGUGCUUAACACAUGCAAGUCGAACGGAAAGGUCCUGCUCUUGCUGGGUGCUCGAUUGGCGCACGGGUGUGUAUCACGCGUGUAUACUGCCCCUGACUUUGGGAUAACUUUACGAAACUCGGGCUAAUAUCGGAUAUGAGCUCUUGCUGCAUGGUGGGGGUUGGAAAGUUUCGGCGGUUGUGGAUGGACUCGCGGCUUAUCAGCUGGUUGGUGGGGUAGUGGCUGACCAAGGCUAUGACGGAUAGCCGGCCUGAGAGGGUGAACGGCGACAAUAGGACUGAGAGACGGAGCAGACUGCUACGGGCGGCAGCAGGGGAGAAUAUUGCACAAUGGGCGGGAGCCUGAUGCGGCAGCGCCGCGUGCGGGAAGACGGCCUUCGGGUGAUGAACCGAUUUCGAAUGUGACGAGGAGAGAGUGACGGUACUGGGUAAAGAAGCACCGGCUAACUACGUG